rfam:Mesorhizobium alhagi CCNWXJ12-2 contig91, whole genome shotgun sequence.
CGCUUAUUUUGCCCAGGCGGAGCUCGACCGCCGGUUCAAGCCAUGAUCGCGUUCAUCGACGAUCGCCCCA